CCCUUAGAUGUUCUGGGCCGCACGCGUGCUACACUGAGUGGAUCAGCGGGUCAGGUUGCGCGAAAGUGUUUCCUAAUCUUGAAAUCCGCUCGUGAUGGGGAUUGACGGUUGCAAUUUUCCGUCAUGAACGAGGAAUACCUUGUAAGCGCGGGUCAUCAUCCCGCGCUGAAUACGUCCCUGCCCUUUGUACACACCGCCCGUCGCUCCUACCGAUUGAGUGGUCCGGUGAGGCUUUGGGAUCUGAGCAAAAAGAGCGUUUCGCUCGUUUGGCUCGGAAAACUCAGUCGAACCUUAUCAUUUAGGGGAAGGAGAAGUCGUAACA
rnacentral:rRNA from 1 species